GACGAACGCUGGCGGCGUGCUUAACACAUGCAAGUCGAACGGAAAGGCCCUGCUUUUGUGGGGUGCUCGAGUGGCGAACGGGUGAGUAACACGUGAGUAACCUGCCCUUGACUUUGGGAUAACUUCAGGAAACUGGGGCUAAUACCGGAUAGGAGCUCCUGCUGCAUGGUGGGGGUUGGAAAGUUUCGGCGGUUGUGGAUGGACUCGCGGCUUAUCAGCUUGUUGGUGGGGUAGUGGCUUACCAAGGCUUUGACGGGUAGCCGGCCUGAGAGGGUUACCGGCCACAUUGGGACUGAGAUACGGACCAGACUCGUACGGGAGGCAGCAGUGGGGAAUAUUGCACAAUGGGCGGUAGCCUGAUGCAGCAACGCCGCGUGCGGGAUGACGGCCUUCGGGUUGUAAACCGCUUUCGCCUGUGACGAAGCGUGAGUGACGGUAAUGGGUAAAGAAGCACCGGCUAACUACGUG
rnacentral:rRNA from 1 species